AUCCCUUUGGGAUAUCCCAUAAAAUUGAAACAAUACAAAGAAAAUUAACAUGAUUUUUCUGCAAAGAUGAAAUGCACAAAUUGAAAAAUAGUCCUUAUAUCU